GUGAAUGCCUGGGCUGUCAUACGGACGCCAAAAAGUGUCCCUGGCCGCCUACACCCACUAUACAUCCACAAACCCGUGUGCACUGUCUUGGAGAAAGGCUUCAGAGAAGUUUUUUGUGGCCUCUCUUGGGGUCUUUCUUCGCUACAAACUCGAAUGGUUAGUAUGAACGUGGAACUUGGUUGGACCGUCACUGGCCAACAAACUAUACA
rnacentral:misc_RNA from 1 species